UCACCUCAGGAAACUUUUUGGUCUUUAC
rnacentral:sRNA from 1 species